CCUACGGGUGACAGCAGUGAGGAAUAUUGGUCAAUGGACGAGAGUCUGAACCAGCCAAGUAGCGUGAAGGAUGACUGCCCUAUGGGUUGUAAACUUCUUUUAUAAAGGAAUAAAACGAGGCACGUGUGCCUUUUUGCAUGUACUUUAUGAAUAAGGAUCGGCUAACUCCGUGCCAGCAGCCGCGGUAAUACGGAGGAUCCGAGCGUUAUCCGGAUUUAUUGGGUUUAAAGGGAGCGUAGAUGGGUUGUUAAGUCAGUUGUGAAAGUUUGCGGCUCAACCGUAAAAUUGCAAUUGAUACUGGCAGUCUUGAGUACAGUUGAGGUAGGCGGAAUUCGUGGUGUAGCGGUGAAAUGCUUAGAUAUCACGAAGAACCCCGAUUGCGAAGGCAGCUCACUAAACUGUGACUGACAUUGAUGCUCGAAAGUGUGGGUAUCAAACAGGAUUAGAUACCCUUGUAGUC
rnacentral:rRNA from 1 species